GUAGUCAUAUGCUUGUCUCAAAGAUUAAGCCAUGCAUGUCUAAGUAUAAGCAAUUAUACAGCGAAACUGCGAAUGGCUCAUUAAAUCAGUUAUCGUUUAUUUGAUAGUACCUUACUACUUGGAUAACCGUGGUAAUUCUAGAGCUAAUACAUGCUAAAAACCCCGACUCACGAAGGGGUGUAUUUAUUAGAUUAAAAACCAAUGCCCUUCGGGGCUCUUUGGUGAUUCAUAAUAACUUUUCGAAUCGCAUGGCCUUGCGCCGGCGAUGGUUCAUUCAAAUUUCUGCCCUAUCAACUUUCGAUGGCAGGGUCUUGGCCUGCCAUGGUUACAACGGGUAACGGGGAAUGGGGCGGGGGCGGCGGGCCGGGCGCGGGGCGCGGCGGGCG
rnacentral:rRNA from 1 species